rnacentral:tRNA from 1 species
AUUAGGGUGGCAGAGCCAGGCAAUUGCGUAAGACUUAAAACCUUGUACCCAGAGGUUCAAAUCCUCUUCCUAAUA